rnacentral:misc_RNA from 1 species
GUCGAUUCUCAAUACAAAGUGCAGUAAUAAGAUAAUUGUAUAUAUCAUGAGAUACUAUAAAUCUAAAUCUUUGAAGCUCGGUGACUAAAUUCACAGCUGAAACCAAAUUAUCCUGUUUUUGAAAUCCUUGUACAAGAACUGAACAAGUGAACUUAUCAGGAUACAUCCCUUCUCCAAUCAUGUCAUGCAACAGAGAACGUGC